rnacentral:rRNA from 1 species
AUGUCCGGAUCCAGCUUUCAAGGCCAGUGGACGGCCUCUUCUAUCACAGAGGAGGAUAUUACGAAGCUCAGGGAGGCGAGGUAUUUCACCGCGGAGAUCCUUCAAAGGCUUCCUGCUCAAGGGCAGGUUAUCCCUACUCAUAGACACGAUGAGAGGGUUGUAUUUAUCCCUCACUUCCUCCGAGGACUAGGUUUCGCUCUUCAUCCCUUUGUUCGAGGACUCAUGUUUUACUACGGACUAGAUUUCCAUGAUCUAGCUCUGGACUCCUUCCUUCACAUCUCGUCAUUCAUUAUCGUGUGUGAGGCCUUCCUCCGUAUUUCCCCACACUUCGACUUAUGGCUCCAGACCUUUAAUGUGAAGCCGAAGAUAGUUGAUGGGGGACACGCGGAGUGCGGAGGUGCUAUAGUAAGCAAAUUGGCUGAUAUUUCUUGGCCAAAGGGUUCCUUCACUGAAGCUUCUGACCUAUGGCAACGGGAGUGGUUUUAUAUCACGGAACCCUGUGGUACAAAGUGGGCGGCUUCACCUGCCUUCCGAUAUGGGCCUCCGCCACAACUUGCAUCGUGGAUCAACAAGGGGCUGGAUUGGGGAUCGCUUAAUGAAGUGCAGAUACUGCAAAGCCGCAUUUGA